rnacentral:rRNA from 1 species
UACGAAGGGGGCUAGCGUUGCUCGGAAUUACUGGGCGUAAAGGGCGCGUAGGCGGCACUGUUAGUCAGGCGUGAAAGUCCUGGGCUCAACCUGGGAACUGCGCUUGAUACGGCAGAGCUAGAGGAUGGAAGAGGCUCGCGGAAUUCCCAGUGUAGAGGUGAAAUUCGUAGAUAUCGAGAGGAACACCGGUGGCGAAGGCGGCUACCUGGACGGCGAUUGACGCUGAGACGCGAAAGCGUGGGGAGCAAACAGG